UACGUAGGGUGCAAGCGUUAAUCGGAAUUACUGGGCGUAAAGCGUACGCAGGCGGCUUUGCAAGACAGGUGUGAAAUCCCCGGGCCUAACCUGGGAACUGCAUUUGUGACUGCAUGGCUAGAGUUUGUCAGAGGGGGGUGGAAUUCCACGUGUAGCAGUGAAAUGCGUAGAUAUGUGGAGGAACACCGGUGGCGAAGGCGGCUUACUGGUCCGAAUCUGACGCUGAGGUGCGAAAGCUAGGGGAGCGAACGGG
rnacentral:rRNA from 1 species